GAAUUUUAUUUCUGUGAAUUGCUUUUUUUAAUCUAUUCCUUUUAAUUAGACUAGCUUUUAAAGCAAUUUGUAGAAAUUUUGUUAAGGAGAUUGUUUUGUCAUAUAUUUUAUAGUUUGUUUUCUUAGUCUAGCAUGUAUCUUCCUUCAAACUUUUGUGAAGGGCCAGCCAGUAAAUAUUUUAGGCUUUGUGGUCGUGCAGUCUCUACUGCCUUUGUAAUAUGAAAACACGUAAUAAACCAGCGGUUCUCAAUCAGAGGUAGUUUUGCCUUCCCUACCCCCACCCCCCAGAGACAUUUGGCAAUUAGACAUUUUUUGGUUAUUGCUAUGAAGGGGAGUGCUGCUGGCAUCUCGGAUGCGCUAAACAUUCUACCCACCCUCCCCGCCGCCCCCCGCAACAGAAUUAUCUGGUCCAGAAAGUCAGUGGUGCUGAAGCUGAGAAAUCCUGACCUGUAAGCAAGUGGGCAUGGCUGUGUUCCAAUAAAACUGUAUUCAGAAAAACAACAAGCCACAUUUGGCCUACAGGUUGUCAUUUGUUGACGCCUGUUUUAAAUUAUCUUUUUGCUAUAUGAGAUCUCGUUUUCUGGUUUUGUUCCUGAAUUGUCUUUCAUCUCAUUUUUUCCAAAUUUUCUUCCAUUUUAUUUUAUGCUUUUAAAUCUUCUUGACUAAAUAAAAUACAAAACAAUAGCAACUACUACCUAAUAAUUAGGCCUCUUAUUGUUUUGUUUUAAAAAUGUUUUUAUUUAUUUUUGGCUAUGUUGGGUCUUCGCAGCACAGGCUUUCUCUAGUUGAGGCGAGUGGGGCCUACUCUGUUGCGGUGCACGGGCUUCUCAUUGCAGUGGCUUCUCUUGUUGCGGAGCACAGGCUGUAGGCUCACAGGCUUCAGUAGUUGCGGCACGUGGGCUCAGUUGUUGUGGCUCGCGGGCUCUAGAGCACAGGCUCAGUAGUUGUGGCACACGGGCUUAGUUGCUCUGCAGCAUGUGGGAUCUUCCCGGACCAGGGCUCGAACCCCUCUCCCCUGCAUUGGCAGGCAGGUUCUUAACCACUGCACCAUCAGGGAAGUCUCCCUCAUUGUUUCUGAUUAAAAUUUUAUAAAUCAUCUCAGAAAUAGGUCAAGUCUUUUCCCUUUGGUCCUGCUUUUCUCCCUGGGUCUGUAGAAGCAAUAGAAAACCAACACUUGGUGUACACAUAGAAACACAUGGUAUGAGGUACCACCUAAGUAACACAAGCAGUGAUACAUCUGUAAUUUUCUUUAUUGACAGUAUUUUAGUAGGAUCUAAAACUAUUGAAAAAUACUGAUCUAAUUCUUUUACUUGCUGUUGUAUUUUUAUGCAUUUAUCAGUCUCUUUACCGAUAAAAUAUAGAAAAACAAUUGCAGAUAAAAAUCCAUUCUAUUCUAAGCAGCAAUGGAUUUAAUAAGAGGUAUUUUGUAAUUUGAAGAAUUUUCAGGAAGCCAAGAAAUCGGGCCUUUGGAGUGCACCAUCCAGAAAAAAGUAGUAAGAAUGAGGCCCAAAUAUAGCACAGAUGCGCUGAUAAAGGCUCAGAUACACUGUUCCUUGAACAGUACUUGGAUGGUACUGUGUUUAAGGAAAACUGCUGCUGCUACUUACUGCAUAUCACCUAUUGUUCUAUGGAAUGGAUGCUAGAAACUUCCAUAGCUGCCUCAGGAGAACCAGUCACUCCUGCCACUGUGGGUCCUACCCCUGGAUAUGCUGCCACCAUCUCAUUAUACUCAUGUCUUCCACCUCCAGUGUUCAGGUAGUGCCUGCUAGAAGCCGGGGAGUUGCAUGCCAGCUCCCAGCUACAGUGAGGUCCAGGUGAAGCCUGUGAAUUGUAAUGAGUAAUCACAACUUGGGGGAUGACAAGGCAGAUUCAUUCUUAUUUAACACUGUCUCUUUAAAUUUGGUAGAACAAGUACUUUCUCCGACCCCAGAUAAAAUCAUGGGCAGACCAUGUAUAGAAAGCAAAACCUUUGUUUUUAAUUAAUUUAUUAUUUUUUUUAACAGUAGGUCCUUGUUGGUUAUCUAUUUUAAACAUAGCAGUGUGUACCUGUUAAUCCCAAACUCCCAAUCUAUCCCUCCUCCCCACCCUUUCUCUGACUUACUUAAGCAUCCUUUACAGGUGGGCUUCUCCCUUCCCUUACCUCAGGCACGUUGGAGGGUGGGUAAGAUGGCAGCUGAGAAAGAGACUGGAAAGGCAGAAGCCAUCCAUGUCGUUUUUUUCCUCAUCUCCCAGCUGUCUUAGUUUCUGAUUGUUUCCUUUAUGGAGCUUAAGUAUUGGAGAGCGAGUCAAGUUCCUAUUUGCAUGAUAAUGGUGAUCCUGCCACACUGCUCCCUGCACUUGCUGGCUUUCUGCUGGGGUGCUUUAAGUUCUUUGCAGGCCCUCAGCAUAUAAAACUGAUGACCUAUUCAAUACUAUUUUUGCAUUCCUUUUUUUAAAAAAAAAAUACACCUUUAUUUUAUUUCUUGGCCGUGCCGUGUGGCAUGCAGGAUCCUAGUUCCCCUACCAGGGAUCGAACCAGUGCCCCCUGUGCGGAGUCUUAACCACUGGACACCCAGGGAAGUCCUGCAUUCCUUUUCUGAUUUGUGUCUACGUUAGUAUUCUCAAGUUUAUCUUUUUCUAAAUAUUUUUUCUUAGCUGUUCAUGUGAUGGAUUACUCAAUUUGAGUCUGUUAAGGGUUCCCUCAUGAUUAAGUUCAGAAUAUGCAUCUUUGCUUUUAUGAAUUUUUGACAAACACUAAUCUCUCUUCAGACAUUAUGUGAAGGAAUACACGAUGCGACUAUCUUAUUAUUGGUGAUGGUAACUUAAUCACCUGAUUAAGGUGAUGUUUUCCAGGUUUCUCCACUGGAAAGAAUAUCUUUCUCUUUGUAGUUAAUAUGUAAUAUGUGGGGAGAUGCUUUUAGAUUAUUAAAAUCAUUGUUUUCCAUU
ensembl:lncRNA